rnacentral:lncRNA from 1 species
GAACGAUCACUUCAGUGCUGAGCACUGGCCUUGUUGGAUAUCCAGUGAGACCAAGGCAGCAGCAAGGCCCCAGUCAGCCCUAUCCCAGACCCUCUGUCUUCAGGGAGGUGGGCAGAGGCCAUGUGGGGGUUUGAGGUGCCCUUAAGAGGCACAGCUGAAGUCAGGCUGCAUUUCACCACUUCAUUGACUGUGUGGGAGCCAUAUCCUCUUUGACAGUUCCGCAGCAAGUGAGCCACAGGUUAGGACGGUCCAAAAGCUCCAGGGAUCUAAGAUGUGAGAACAGGAGCUGCUAGCAGCAGUGCUGACAAGCUGUAGGGAUCCAGCAGCGGUCUCACUUUGGACACCAAAAGUCCCAGCUUGGCCAAAUG